UUCAUAGGCUAUCACUGCAGUGCUGGAGUUGUGAGAGCCCAGUUGUAAGGCAUGGAAAUGGUGGCAGGCCUGAAGUUUGUGCAUCUGUGGUGCAGCUGGAUUCCUUAAUGGAGUUAUGAAGCUUUGAACUGUGCUGGCUUGGAAUGGGAAUUAAUGUCAAAGAUGCCCCUGAAGUCCAAAGCUGGAAUUCAGAUGAAAGACUUCUACAGAACGUUUUGGAACUCAGACUACCUCAUUUUAUGAACUGUGGAUCUCUAUCAGCAGCAGAGUGCCUCAAAGACAUACAAGACAAAGAAUGGCUUUGCUAGCUGAGACUACUAUACACUCCCAGACAGAAGACAGCAGAAGACACCUGGAAAGAUGAUUACGAAUGGCAAGGUGGCUGAAUCCUGGCAUAGGAGAUAGGACAGCGUGACCCCGAUGAACUACCUGAUAGACAUGGCAAAACAAAAACACCCUUGCAUGUUUUGCAGGACUUAUGAGCAAGUAGUAGCUGAAAUAAGAGUCCAUU